UUGUUGUUUUGCUUUCCAUGUUAGACUAAAGAUUUACAGAAAUAAUGAUCUUAUUUUACUAUCUCUUUGGUUUGGAUUCUUGGAACUAGAGCAAUUCUUGAUACUUGAUUUCUGGGUCAUUACUGGAUUUAUAUAUAUGUAUAUCUUCAAGAUUAAACUUACUGGGCAAUGAGCAAUGAUACUGAUGUUAAUCUUAAAACCAAAACAGAGUUGAUAUAGAACUGUAAUUAGUUAUAUAAUCUUGAUUUUUUAAGUUGGGUUUUUAUGAUUUAAAAGUUUAGUAGCUGUAGAAUUUAGAGAAAUUAUUAUUUAUUUUGCCAUAUGUUUGGUUAGGUUUGUUGAAAAUAGAGCAAAAUUUGAUGUAUAUUAUGUGUUUGUGUGUUAGUUUAAUCUUUUUAAAAACAAUUAUGAGGCUGAAGAGAACUUGGAGUGAAUGACUUGAGCGGUUGAAAAUUUGGGUCUAUCUUUGGAUUUAUGUAUUAAUAGAUUUAGUUAGACUCAUUUUAUAAAUGGAGAACGAAUAUAAUAAUCCUAUCUUAGUUAGUAGAUUAGAAAAGAUUAGGGAUAUAUAAUCACAACAUUUUUGUUAGUACUAAGCUUUUGUUAAGUUAAAAUUGAUAAUUGAGAAGAAAGAUGAUAGCAUUAGAUAUUUUAGGGUGGCUAAUAUAAAGGAAAUUUAUACGGAUGACCCAUUUCUUGGGUCCAAAAUGUCAAAUGAUCUAUUUUUUAAAAAUAAUGUCAAUUGACCAUCUGCUUACAUUAUCGUCAUACCAAAUUACGUAAAUUGCCCUUACCUCUUCAUCUUCUUACCUUUUUAUUGAAAACCAAACAAAACUAAAAACUCUUCAUUCAAACUUUCCAAGGCUAAUGGUUUCGUAUUACUCAUAAACUAAAACCUCUUUAGAAUUCAUCAUUUCGGUUGCAAAUAAUUCCACUGUCGUUGACAAAUCGAAUCUUAUCAGUAAAUCUUUCAAUCUGUGCUUGAAAAUAUCUUAAAUUGAUCGGUAAUAAGGCUUUGUGGGUCGUUUUGGGUUUAGAAAUACUGUGAACCUAUGGUUUUUUUUGUUUUCGAUAUGUUCUGUGGUUGAAGACGAGUAGAAAGAGUUUGUGAGCAAGAUAAGUGAGUGAAAUCGGUAGAGCGAUACUAGAGAGAGUGAUACCAGAAAGGAUGGGUCAUUAUGAGGUUUAGAAAUAAUGUGAACCUAUGAUUUUUUUUUUGCUUGUUUUUCUGGUUUUCGAUGUUUUCAAUGGUUGAAGACGAGUAAAAGAGAGAAUGUGAGCGAGAUAAGUGAGAGUUACUAGAGAGAGUGACAUCAGAGAGAGUGACACUAGAGAGAUCGAUAUCGGAGAGAGCAACAAUAGAGAGAGCAAUAUCAGAGAGAGCAAAGCUAGUGAGAGUGAAUCCAGUGAGAGUGAAACAUAAUGUUUUUUUACAAUUUUUUUCUGAAGGAGUUUACUGAUUGAAUUUUUAUUUCAUGUAGGAGUGAUUUAAGAUGACAACACACUUCAGAAUACCCGUAGUCGACCGAUUUCCCGGUCAAGUAACAAGCUUGGCGCACAUUGCUAAUGCAAACAAGAUUGUGAAGGAGAAGUUUAUCUCAAGACAGUUAGACAUGUUCAAGAGAACAUUUUUUGGGCGAUUUGUAGACGUUGACAUGGUGUUUAAGAGCCCAAUUAUCCAUCAUAUAUUGUUGAGAGAAGUGAAGAGGAUGAGAUCUUACUCUAUGUCAUUCUCUAUUUGUGGAAAGAUCGUCACUUUUUCGAAUGAUGAUUUUUUGUUGAUUGGUUAUGGUGAUCCCUAACACGAGUUGAUCAGAAUGAGCAGUCUUCGUAUGAACUUGCAAUCAAGUAUUUUGGUAAUCGAGUGAAAAAGGACACCUUACAUGGCCGUCUACUUGAAGAAAAAUACAAGGAGUUGGAGUUUGAAAAUGAUGAGGAUGUUGUAAAGAUCACAAUAGUCUACUAUACUGAGGUUGCAAUGAUGGGAAAGAACAAACAAAAAAAUGCAGUAGACCUCAAAUCUUUUAAGGACGUUCAAAACUUAGAGUACUACAACAAUCUUGAUUAAGGUACCAUUAUUUGGUAGAGACACUGAUGCCUUAAAGACUGCGUUGAAUGAUAAGAGUAGUCUAUACAAGACAAAGGUGAAAGGAAAUAAAAUUACGUUGUGAAGUACUCUUUGCGUGGAUUUCCACAAACGUUCUAGAUAUGGACGUACGAGAUCCUAGUUGCAUCGAUAGCUAGGAACAUUGCGGAGCGAAUGAGCAAGGUGGCUUUGCCCCGCAUAGUACGAUGGUCAUGCUUCCACUUAGUGUCCUUCAAAGUACUCGAGAGAGAGAUAUUCGAGUCUAACAAUGUACGUUUACUCUUUGCAUAAUAUGUUCAUCUGGUUGUUAAAUUGACACUAACUAGUUUACUGGUGUUAGUGUAGAUAAAGGUUAAAGAGGGUAUUAUCAUGAUAGACGCUGAGAGGGAGUUUCAAGAUACCCUAGUGUACAGACGGCCUAUAUUUGAUCUAGGUGCGGAUGAUGAUACUGCUGAAAGUAGCAAUAGGUUGACUAGUGAUAGAGGUAGUUUUGAAAGUGAAAGUGACGGUGAUGAUCAUCAUGGAGAUGGUAAUGAUAAAUGUGGAAGGGUGGAGGGAGAGGAUGAACACGAGCAUUUUGAGCACGAGAAUGCUGAAUAUGGAAGGGUGGAAUGAGGGACAUACACACCCAGUGAUGAUAUGUUCCAUGAUGUGGUGGGGGACGUACGUGAUGAGGACAAGUUGAACCCACCUGAUGUCCAUCUUGCAGACUCCUAUAAAAAGCGAUCUAUGGAUAAGGAGUGACGUGAGUAUGCUGCCCCCAGGGAGGGAGCCAAUCCCGAUGAUUCUAUUUAUUCGUACCUGUGGGCCAUUGACAGCUCAUUAUCAAGGUUGGAUGGUCAUAUAUCGAGUUUAGAUAGUCGUGUAUCCAAUAUGGAGGAAAACAUGACAGACAUGAAAGGACAAUUAUCGGCUAUCCUAUCACUGUUGCAGUCUAUGUGCAAGAUUUGCAUUUACUAUCAUUUUAUGUCUUUAUGUGUUUAGUUUUUACGUAUUCGUGAACUCAUCAUUUUACUUUACUAAUUGAAGGGUGCCACGGUGAAUGACGAGACAACAAGGUCACCCAUCCCAUCUCAGGAUUUCGAUACCAAUAAUGUGACUGCCUCAGAUACUCCCAUCCCUCUAUAGAGCCUCAAAAUACCACCACUUUACUUACCCCCAUCCCCCCUCUAAAGCCCGAUACCACCACAACAUCACCAAUUAACGUCGAACCUAUAGAGGCCGACAUCCCAUAAAUAGAGCCCAAUAUGUCUGCCUCACUCACCAUGCCACAUACAGAAGUCGACAUGUCUGACAUCCCAGAGACCGACACUUCUGGGAUUGUUACGACCACAGAAGGAUAUACACUGGAAUCUCGAAGAAUUAGUCGUAAGAGGAAAGCUGUUGAUAAAUAUACAGCUCAAGUAAAGAAGAAAAGUGUGGUUAAGCAUCCUCUCUCAGGUGUAGCUACGUCACUAUCCUAAGCGAUUGUCACAUACAACAUAGCACAUGACGUUCCACACAAUAUCGUUACAGAAAUGAUGGGCUGGAUCUCAGACGAUAAUACCGACAAUGAGGUUCGAGAGAACUCCUUUAAACCAUUCGCCAAACAAUUCUUCAAGGAAUUGAUUUCCCCGAGUUCAUGGGUCGAGUGCGAUAUAAGUUUCCUAGUCUUGACUUCUUUAUAGUUGGAUAUCUUGUACUUUUACUGACAUAGUAAUUUUUUGUCCAGACCAUAAAUACUUUAUUUUAUUUUAUGAAAGAAGAAUUUUAUACCCGACCUGACAUGUGCAUGCACAAAUUCACCAUCUUGCCAAUUGGUGUAACGAGUCACCUUAAUGCUCGUGGCGGGGUAUUUAAACGAAUAAAGAAUAAGACACUUCUGAAGGCUACCCUAGCAUGGGAGGAUGAAGACACGUACAAGGACUACGUCACUGGUAAAUUAAAUGUCAAAUGGGUAGAUGUGGAUUUCGAUUACAUGACAAUGAAUAUCAGUGAGCACUGGAUGGUCCUUGCAAUGGACAUUAACAGAG